rnacentral:rRNA from 1 species
AGCAGCCGCCGCGGGAAUACAGAGGGUGCGAGCGUUAAUCGGAUUUACUGAGCGUAAAGCGUGCGUAGGCGGCUAAUUGAGUCGGAUGUGAAAUCCCCGAGCUUAACUUGGGAAUUGCAUUCGAUACUGGUUAGCUAGAGUGUGGGAGAGGAUGGUAGAAUUCCAGGUGUAGCGGUGAAAUGCGUAGAGAUCUGGAGGAAUACCGAUGGCGAAGGCAGCCAUCUGGCCUAACACUGACGCUGAGGUACGAAAGCAUGGGGAGCAAACAGGAUUAGAUACCCCGGUAGUCCCUGUCUCUUAUAC